UACGGAGGGUGCAAGCGUUAUCCGGAAUCACUGGGUUUAAAGGGUGCGUAGGCGGUUUCGUAAGUCAGUUGUGAAAUACCCCGGCUUAACCGGCGGAAGUGCGAUUGAUACUGCGAGACUUGAAUCAGGUUGAGGUAGGCGGAAUGUGGCAUGUAGCGGUGAAAUGCUUAGAUAUGCCAUAGAACACCGAUUGCGAAGGCAGCUUGCUGGACCUGUAUUGACGCUGAGGCACGAAAGCGUGGGGAGCAAACAGG
rnacentral:rRNA from 1 species